UUAAAACGUUAAGGAGAUAGAUAUUUCCAAAAGGGGCUCUCUCGCUCUCGCUCCCACUCUCUUUCAUACAUCUCUCUCGGCUCCUCACAGAUUCACCAAGUUGGUACAAUCACAUCCAAAUCUUGUUUGCAACUUUUGGUGCUUUAGUUUUGCUAGAAGUUCCACUCAAUCUCUGAAGAGUGUGUAUUAAUGUCAACCAUUCACUCUGUGGUUAUCCGGGAUUUGUUCUAAAAUAGAGGUCACACAAAGGUCUUGCCUAACAUCAAAAGCAUUAAAGUAAAAAUUGGAUUCUUUGCUCUUCUUUAUGAUUAAAUUACUGUGGUUUUUGUUGCAGUGUUCAUUUGGUGGAAUUGCAAGGUAUAGGUGAACUAUAUGCUAUGAAGGCAAUGGAAAGUCAAUGAUGCUGAACCGUAACAAGGAUUACUAGCCUUAAUCCUUUGGAUUUCCUCCCUGCAAAGUGCAACAAAUAAGUUACAUGUAAACUCAAGGUAUAUGCAUGUUACUAAUCUCUCAAUUUCAAGACCAAAUCCAAUUCCUACCAUCACUCAUAAUCAAGUUAGUCUCUGAGAGGGAGACUCUUCUACAAGUUAUGGAAAUAAUUCACAGUUAAUUAUUGAAUCUUUUGUUAAUUUUCCAUUGCAAGUUGUUGUUGCAAGUGUAUAGAAGAGAAAAAUCAGUUUGUUUUGUAGAGAAAGUAUGAACUUUCAUUCUAUUUUGGCUGGAUACAUCUUCUUGUAGAUACAGUCUGAGCUAUCAGCAGUCUGUCAUGAUGAUGAUUUCCAAAAUUCUUGGUUUGUGCAAAGUAAACAUGUGACUUCCUUUUUACUUUUCUAAAUAUUCUUUGGUUCACUAUGAUGUCAUAUGAAUGAAAUUACUGCUAUAUGUAAUGAUUAGAAUGUAUAGGGAGCUAAUACUAAUACUUUUGCUUUAUGGUGGAUAAAUAAGUUGGGUUAAGUACUUUGGUGUUA